rnacentral:rRNA from 1 species
UACGGGGGGUGCGAGCGUUGUCCGGAUUCACUGGGCGUAAAGGGCGCGUAGGCGGCUGGCUCAGUCGGGCCUGUAAGUCCGGGGCUCAACUCCGGAUCUGCCGUGCCGACUGUCAAACUCGAGGGCUGUAGAGGCAGACGGAAUUCCGGGUGUAGCGGUGGAAUGCGUAGAGAUCCGGAGGAAGACCGGUGGCGAAGGCGGUCUGCUGGGCAGUUUCUGACACUGAGGCGCGACAGCGUGGGGAGCAAACAGG